rnacentral:rRNA from 1 species
GAAUAUUGGACAAUGGGGGAAACCCUGAUCCAGCCAUGCCGCGUGUGUGAAGAAGGCCUUCGGGUUGUAAAGCACUUUCAGUAGGGAGGAAAGCUCAGUGGCUAAUAUCCAGUGGGAUUGACGUUACCUACAGAAGCAGCACCGGCUAACUUCGUGCAAGCAGCCGCGGUAAUACGAAGGGUGCAAGCGUUAAUCGGAAUUACUGGGCGUAAAGCGCGCGUAGGCGGUUUGAUAAGUGAGAUGUGAAGUCCCCGGGCUCAACCUGGGAACUGCAUCUCAUACUGUCAGGCUAGAGUACGGUAGAGGGGGGUAGAAUUCCACGUGUAGCGGUGAAAUGCGUAGAGAUGUGGAGGAAUACCAGUGGCGAAGGCGGCCCCCUGGAUCGAUACUGACGCUGAGGUGCGAAAGCGUGGGGAGCAAACAGG